CGUAGGGUGCGGAGCGUGUCGGAUACUGGGCGUAAAGAGCUCGUAGUUGUUUGUCGCGUCGUCUGUGGAAUCCGGGCUUACUCCGGGCGUGCAGCGAUACGGGCAUAACUAGAGUGCUGUAGGGGAGACUGGAAUUCCUGGUGUAGCGGUGAAAUGCGCAGAUAUCAGGAGGAACACCGAUGGCGAAGGCAGGUCUCUGGGCAGUUACUGACGCUGAGGAGCGAAAGCAUGGGUAGCGAACAGGAUUAGAUACCCUGGUAGUCAUGCCGUAAACGGUGGGCGCUAGGUGUGGGGGUUUUAUUUACGAUUCCCGUGCCGUAGCUAACGCAUUAAGCGCCCCGCCUGGGGAGUACGGCCGCAAGGCUAAAACUCAAAGGAAUUGACGGGGGCCCGCACAAGCGGCGGAGCAUGUGGAUUAAUUCGAUGCAACGCGAAGAACCUUACCUGGGCUUGACAUACACCGGAUCGCUGCAGAGAUGUAGUUUCCCUUGUGGCUGGUGUACAGGUGGUGCAUGGUUGUCGUCAGCUCGUGUCGUGAGAUGUUGGGUUAAGUCCCGCAACGAGCGCAACCCUUGUCUUGUGUUGCCAGCACGUUAUGGUGGGGACUCGCGAGAGACUGCCGGGGUUAACUCGGAGGAAGGUGGGGAUGACGUCAAAUCAUCAUGCCCCUUAUGUCCAGGGCUUCACACAUGCUACAAUGGUCGGUACAGUGGGUUGCGAUACCGUGAGGUGGAGCUAAUCCCUUAAAGCCGGUCUCAGUUCGGAUUGGAGUCUGCAACUCGACUCCAUGAAGUCGGAGUCGCUAGUAAUCGCAGAUCAGCAACGCUGCGGUGAAUACGUUCCCGGCCUUGCACACACCGCCCGUC
rnacentral:rRNA from 1 species